GUUAGGUCCCGUAAACCGGGAGAGGAGACACCCUCCCCGGGGCGCCCCUUACAUGACCACUCCCGAGUCGUCUGAGGGUCCGCAAGCCCUUAAACGAGGCUUUGAAAGCCUCGGACAGGACAGCUUCAGUGCGAUCAAAGUUCUACGUGCGAGAGCCGCCGAAUGCCAAACCUGACUGGCUGAAAGUUGGGUUCACCUUGGGCACCACUGUCUUCUUGUGGAUCUAUCUCAUCAAACAACACAAUGAAGAUAUUUUAGAGUACAAAAGAAGAAAUGGGCUGGAAUAAACUUUUGAAACACUAAUGUAGUAUGCUCCGUAUAGUGAUUGUAGCUGUUCCUCUGGAUUCACCAUCUGUUGAGUUGUAAAUGUGAGAGAAAAAGUUAUAUGUGAAUAUAUAUCAAGCCAGCAUUUGUAUUUUGCAUCAUUAAAUAAAAAGAAAUAAAAAU
rnacentral:lncRNA from 1 species